rnacentral:rRNA from 1 species
UUGGGAUUAGUGGCGAACGGGUGAGUAACACGUGAGUAACCUGCCCUUGACUCUGGGAUAACCUCCGGAAACGGAAGCUAAUACCGGAUAUGACGUACGGAGGCAUCUCCUGUACGUGGAAAGAACUUCGGUCAAGGAUGGACUCGCGGCCUAUCAGGUAGUUGGUGAGGUAACGGCUCACCAAGCCUACGACGGGUAGCCGGCCUGAGAGGGUGACCGGCCACACUGGGACUGAGACACGGCCCAGACUCCUACGGGAGGCAGCAGUGGGGAAUAUUGCACAAUGGGCGCAAGCCUGAUGCAGCAACGCCGCGUGAGGGAUGACGGCCUUCGGGUUGUAAACCUCUUUUAGUAGGGAAGAAGCGAAAGUGACGGUACCUGCAGAAAAAGCACCGGCUAACUACGUGCCAGCAGCCGCGGUAAUACGUAGGGUGCGAGCGUUGUCCGGAAUUAUUGGGCGUAAAGAGCUCGUAGGCGGUCUGUCGCGUCUGCUGUGAAAUCCCGAGGCUCAACCUCGGGCCUGCAGUGGGUACGGGCAGACUAGAGUGCGGUAGGGGAGAAUGGAAUUCCUGGUGUAGCGGUGGAAUGCGCAGAUAUCAGGAGGAACACCGAUGGCGAAGGCAGUUCUCUGGGCCGUAACUGACGCUGAGGAGCGAAAGCGUGGGGAGCGAACAGGAUUAGAUACCCUGGUAGUCCACGCCGUAAACGUUGGGCGCUAGAUGUGGGGGACCAUUCCACGGGUUCCGUGUCGCAGCUAACGCAUUAAGCGCCCCGCUGGGGGAGUACGGCCGCAAGGCUAAAACUCAAAGGAAUUGACGGGGCCGCACAAGCGGCGGAGCAUGCGAUAUUUCGAUGCACGCGAA